GGGGAUGUAGCUCAUAUGGUAGAGCGUUCGCUUCGCAUGCGAAAGGUACCCGGAUCGAUACCGGGCAUUUCCA